rnacentral:rRNA from 1 species
CCUACGGGAGGCAGCAGUGAGGAAUAUUGCUCAAUGGAGGAAACUCUGAAGCAGCAACACCGCGUGAGGGAUGAAGGAGCUUUGCUUCGUAAACCUCUGUAGUCGGGGACAAAUGGAUGGUUACUACCAUCGUGAUGGUACCCGAAAAGUAAGGAUCGGCUAACUACGUGCCAGCAGCCGCGGUAAUACGUAGGAUCCAAGCGUUGUCCGGAUUUACUGGGUGUAAAGGGUGCGCAGGCGGAUUAGUAAGUCAGAGGUGAAAUCUCGUCGCUCAACGACGAAACUGCCUUUGAUACUAUUAAUCUUGAGUACGGUAGAGAUUUGUGGAAUUCCGAGUGUAGCAGUGAAAUGUGUAGAUAUUCGGAAGAACACCAGAGGCGAAGGCAGCAAAUUGGGCCGAUACUGACGCUCAGGCACGAAAGCAUGGGGAUCAAACAGGAUUAGAUACCCUGGUAGUCCACGCCCUAAACGAUGGAUACUCGACAUCAGCGAUACACUGUUGGUGUCUGAGCGAAAGCAUUAAGUAUCCCACCUGGGAAGUACGAUCGCAAGAUUGAAACUCAAAGGAAUUGACGG